CCUACGGGUGGCAGCAGUGAGGAAUAUUGGUCAAUGGCCGGAAGGCUGAACCAGCCAUGCCGCGUGAAGGUCAGUGCCCUAUGGGCGUUAAACUUCUUUUGUGCGGGAGCAAUAAUGGUCACGUGUGGCCAGACGAGAGUACCGUACGAAUAAGCAUCGGCUAACUCCGUGCCAGCAGCCGCGGUAAUACGGGGGAUGCAAGCGUUAUCGGGAUUGAUUGGGGUUAAAGGGUGCGUAGGCUGGGAGGUAAGUCAGCGGGGAAAUGCCCCCGCUCAACGGGGUGAAGUGCCAUUGAUACUGCCUUGCUGGAGUGCGGAUGCGGUAAGAGGAAUGUGUGGUGUAGCGGUGAAAUGCAUAGAUAUCACGAAGAACACCGAUGGCGAAGGCAUCUCACGAAUCCGCGAUUGACGCUGAGGCACGAAAGCGUGGGUAGCAAACAGGAUUAGAUACCCGAGUAGUC
rnacentral:rRNA from 1 species